GGGGAAGUCAGAAAUGUGCUGAGAUGAGGGGUGGGCACUGGGCCAAGAUCAAGCCAGAGAUAGCCUCUCAGAAGCAGGCACUUUGGGGUGCAGCUGGUCACGUCCACCCACUCAGUGCUUCGCGGCAAAGAGUAUGAUAAACCUCUCAUGAUGUUGCUGAAGAUGAGAAAAAAAGGGGGGCUGGAUUCACAAAUAGAGAGAUGAAGUAACUUUCCCACGGGCACACUGAAACACAGCCAGAGACUGGGGAUUUGAACUUCAGACCGUCUGAUUCAGAGCCAUUGCUCUCUCAGUUACGCUAACUGGCUCAAAUAGCCCAAGUCGGAGGG